GAGGGUAUAGGAUGUUGUGGCUAAUAUGGUUCAGAGCCCUCUUAACGACUGUCUUGUUUUGGAAGGAAGUAAAAGUUGUAAUUUACAAUCCUGACAUCACCCAGAUGGUAUUUCAAAGGCCAGAUCUUUUUACUGUAAACCAGGCAGGUGUGUUGAGGCAAGUUGGAGCUAAACUCUGCAGGACACCGGCCCUCGAGGAUCAAGUUUGAUGAACCCUGGUCACUGCAGUCACCCAGAUCCAAUAUGUAUCCUGCCCAGAUUGUGGAUCAGCACCUAGAGAUGACCUCUACAGCCCUGAAUGUCAGCAGAGAUCAGGACAACUAGAUGAGCCCCAGAGACAACCUGCUGGUUCGUCUGGCCAGAGGAGAACUAGCCCCCCAACUGAGUCUGGUUUCUCCCAAGGUUUUUCUCCAUUCUGUCAUCAAUGGAGUUUUGGUUCCUUGCCGCUGUCGUCUCUGGCUUGCUUAAGUUGGGGACGCUUAAUUUCCAGCGAUAUCAUCAACUUGAUUGCACAGAUACUAUUUAAACUAAACUGGGCUUGCUGAUGACAUCACUGAAUUCUAUAAGCUGCCUUUAACUGAAUAUGUUGUGUUUACUAUUGUCCUUUUGCAUUAUUGACACUAUUUUCCUAUUUAAUACUGUAAAGCUGCUUUAACGCAAUCUGUAUUGUUAAAAGCACUAUGUAAAUAAAGGUGACUUGACAUGACUUGUUGUAUUUGCUAUGAUUACAAGAUUCCAACCUGGAAAAAGCAUUCAUGUCCUUGUAGAACUCAUAAUUACCAUCUGUAAUCUGGGAAUUUUCUGAGAGCUUCUACUUGUACUAGGUGACCACUGUUGCAGAUUAAUUUAGGCGUUGAUGGUGUUGCCAUAGAAAUGCACAGUUCCUGAUCCAAGGACCUGAACAGCUCUAAGUAGAACAUAGUGUGAACGCAGCAUAUGAACUUGAAUUUUUGACAACAGCAUUAUCUAACUGACUUGAUAAUGUCUUUGUCGAUCUGUUUCUUCCUCUGUUAGGAUGCAGCUAACAAGAAAGACUCCAGUAAGAAUCCUCAGCAUUGAUCAAGAAAGUCCACAGCUAAACCCAUCUAGAGUGGGAAUCAUCUUGGAAGAAAAUUUUGUAAUGGAUGAACUGACCGAUCUCAGGCCUUCUAUUUUUUUAUUUUUUAUUUUUUUCAGACUGAUUUAUGCCCUGCACCUGGACUAGGUGUAUGAAAAGCUCUUUAUAUUUUAUUCAGUAGGUAAUGCUCAACCUCGGAAAAAGUGAGUUUGCACCUAUAAUUCAGUACUGCCAAUAUUGUAAACUCAAGAGUGGAAUAAAACCAUAUAGUUCUGAUGCUGUUUGUUGUAAUUCUGAGAUAGACUGUUUUAUGUUAGUUUGUUAAACAUUUUUUUUUUCAUGUUUUAUGGGGAAAUGUUUUCAGAUGAAAAAUGCAUUUUUUGUUAUGUUUAUAAAUUAACAUUUUUUAAUUGAAUUAAAAUAAAACAGAAAAUUGCAUAAAUGUUCCUUUAUUUGUU